rfam:Culex pipiens quinquefasciatus supercont3.442 genomic scaffold, whole genome shotgun sequence.
GUUUACGUAGCCCAGUGGUAACGCUUCCGCCUCGUAAGCGGUAGAUCGGGGUUCAAAUCCCGGCUCGGACC